rnacentral:miRNA from 1 species
GCCAAAAGGUUCGUUCGGAUUUUUCCGUAAGACCUUAUGGAAAAACCCAAAUGAACUUCUUGGC